rnacentral:pre_miRNA from 1 species
UUAGAGGGUAUUUUUCAUUGUUUAUGUUUAAUGUUUGACCGUCCAUCUUAUCUAAAAAAUUAUAACUAGUAUUUUUAUUGUUAAUAGAUGGUAAAAAAUAAAUAGCACUUUACGUGUGACUACUAUCUUUUAAAUUUUUUAUAUAUUUUUUAAAUAAUACGAGUAACCAAACGUGGACACAUAAAUCCACGAAUACAGUUAAA